UGGUGUGUGGAAGGAGGUCACGGUGGAGAUUAGAUAUGUGGUUUGGAGUGUCGGCGGUGAGAGAGUUGUAGUGUUGGUAGCCGGCAAUUUGGAGAUCUGUCGGUGAAGGAGGUUUGUUGAACGAUGUUGGUUGUGGCUGCCGGCGAAGGUGGUUGCGCCGGUUGGUGGUGAAAUGUGAAAUAUGAGUCAAGUAGGUGGGAUUGUGACCUUUGAGAGCAGAGGAUAAUUUUUUCUUUUGUUUUUCUAUUCUUUUCAUCAACUAGAGAGAGAGAGAUUGAGGAAAAUCUCCUUUUUU
rnacentral:lncRNA from 1 species